GACUACCGUUGUGGUUAGUACGACUGCCUGCGACGCAGAAGGUUCCGGGUUCAAUUCCCGGUGGGGUCA